rnacentral:rRNA from 1 species
GACGAACCGGACGAACGUUAUUCGGAAUUACUGGGCUUAAAGGGUGCGCGGGCGGCCAAGUUAGUCGGGUGUGAAAUCCCUCGGCUCAACCGAGGAAUGGCGCCCGAUACUGCUUGGCUCGAGGAAGACAGAGGUGAGCGGAACUGAUGGUGGAGCGGUGAAAUGCGUUGAUAUCAUCAGGAACACCUGUGGCGAAAGCGGCUCACUGGGUCUUUUCUGACGCUGAGGCACGAAAGCUAGGGGAGCGAACGGG